UACGUAGGGGGCGAGCGUUGUCCGGAAUCAUUGGGCGUAAAGCGCGUAUAGGCGGCUCGGUAAGUCUGCUGUGAAAGUCCAGGGCUCAACCCUGGGAUUCCGGUGGAUACUGUCGAGCUCGAGUCCGGAAGAGGCGAGUGGAAUUCCUGGUGUAGCGGUGAAAUGCGCAGAUAUCAGGAGGAACACCAAUGGCGAAGGCAGCUCGCUGGGACGUGACUGACGCUGAGACGCGAAAGCGUGGGGAGCAAACAGG
rnacentral:rRNA from 1 species